rnacentral:rRNA from 1 species
CAUGCAGGCGGUUUAUCAAGUAGGAUGUGAAAGCCCCGGGCUCAACCUGGGAAUUGCAUUCUAAACUGAUAGACUAGAGUAUUGCAGGGGGAGAUGGAAUUCCAGGUGUAGCGGUGGAAUGCGUAGAUAUCUGGAAGAACACCAAAGGCGAAGGCAGUCUCCUGGGCAAAUACUGACGCUCAUAUGCGAAAGCGUGGGUAGCAAACA